AGAACGAACGCUGGCGGCAGGCUUAACACAUGCAAGUCGAACGCCCCGCAAGGGGAGUGGCAGACGGGUGAGUAACGCGUGGGAAUCUACCCAAUUCUACGGAACAACUGAGGGAAACUUCAGCUAAUACCGUAUACGCCCUACGGGGGAAAGAUUUAUCGAAGUUGGAUGAGCCCGCGUUGGAUUAGCUAGUUGGUGGGGUAAUGGCCUACCAAGGCGACGAUCCAUAGCUGGUCUGAGAGGAUGAUCAGCCACACUGGGACUGAGACACGGCCCAGACUCCUACGGGAGGCAGCAGUGGGGAAUAUUGGACAAUGGGCGCAAGCCUGAUCCAGCCAUGCCGCGUGAGUGAUGAAGGCCUUAGGGUUGUAAAGCUCUUUCAGUGGGGAAGAUAAUGACGGUACCCACAGAAGAAGCCCCGGCUAACUUCGUGCCAGCAGCCGC
rnacentral:rRNA from 1 species